CCUACGGGUGGCAGCAGUGGGGAAUAUUGCGCAAUGGGCGAAAGCCUGACGCAGCGACGCCGCGUGAGGGAUGAAGGUCUUCGGAUCGUAAACCUCUGUCAGCAGGGAAGAACGGUCACUGUGCUAAUCAGCAGUGAAUUGACGGUACCUGCAAAGGAAGCACCGGCUAACUCCGUGCCAGCAGCCGCGGUAAUACGGAGGGUGCGAGCGUUAAUCGGAAUUACUGGGCGUAAAGCGCUCGUAGGCGGUAUGUCAAGUCAAGGGUGAAAUCCCCGGGCUCAACGUGGGAACUGCCUUUGAAACUGGCAGACUGGAGUGUGUGAGAGGAUAGUGGAAUUCCAGGUGUAGGAGUGAAAUCCGUAGAGAUCUGGAGGAACAUCAGUGGCGAAGGCGACUAUCUGGCAAAUAACUGACGCUGAGGAGCGAAAGCGUGGGUAGCAAACAGGAUUAGAUACCCGAGUAGUC
rnacentral:rRNA from 1 species